CUCUGGUCCUCGCUUGGACGUUUGCCCGGACGGCUGCGGGGGUCCUUAAAGCCGAGUCGGACUUCGGAGGCUCCACCAGGCCAGCCCUACGCCCGCGAAGUCGGGAGACCCGAAAGGAGCGCGGGACAGGGGUUUUGGGCUUCGCCUUACUCUCCCUUACACCGUGCGAAGCCAACAGCCCGAACACGCGUCCCUUUGGCCUAGAGAGAGGGAGGGCAAUGCUGUGCGGACCCCCGUCGGGGGCGGAAUUGCGGCCGGCCGGCGUCUCACCGCGCGGCACCCGGCGGAGUUGGCCUUCGCGGCCUGCGGACACGGUCAGCCCCGGCGCCCGCCCGUGUCGCAGAGGGACUGAGCGUCCCCAAGUUUCGGAGAAUCUCCCUGCGUUUUCUAACAUUUAAACAUAGGCUAGCAAGACAGCAAUUAGCAUUUCUAAUGGGGUCUCGGAGUUUUACGAAGUGUUCCCGCAGACUUUUAUCUCGUUUAUUCCUCAGGGCACCCCUGCGAGGUGUGUAAAUUCUCGAUGGGCUGCGUUUCGUGAAGCUUGGCAGGUAGCCUUUGUAAUGGUCUGGCUCCGACAGCACCCUGAGAGCCAGGGUUAGAGCACUAAGUUUGUUUUGCAGGCCUCAGGGGAGUCACUUCACGGUGUAUUAAGCUUAAAAUAAGUAAGUAUGUCAUGUGUCAAAUCAGACACGAUCUUAAUAGACAAUAUUGACCACAACUUAUGAAAGAGAAAAACACGCAAUUCUAUUCAUUAACCUAAGGUUUUCUUGAAAUGAAGAAAUCCCUUCCAUUUUCCCUGAGUUCAUUUAGUGGCAAAUGAAACCACCCAUAUCAAUUUUUAAAAUAUCGACUUAAAAUUUCAAAGCAAAGAAAGUUUUAGAAGCAUUUGGGGGAAAGGCAAAAACUUUAUAGUACAUUGUUUCUUGAGUGUUGUGUGUAAAACGUUAUUCUUAGCAGACAUCUGCUAAGAAUGUGAGGGAAGAAUUGUGAGGGAAGUAGUAGUCUUCCGGAUGUCACCGGAGGUCUGUAACUAUAAGGUUAUGAGAACCACAGGGCCAUGAGAUAAAGGAUUUUGUGAAAAACUAGCAAAUCUGUUACAUGAACUAACAAGCGAUAUUUGAGCUAUCCACUUUCAGGGCUUGAAUAUGUUCUUUCUCAUGUAAUCUUCAAACAACCCUGUGAAGUAGAUUGUGUUUUAAUCAUUUUACAGAUGAGGAACAGAAGCUCUGGGUCCUCAAGCUGCAUGGCCAACAGGAGGUAGAGCUAAGAUUUAAACCCAGAUGAUCUGACUCCAAAGUCUGCUAUCUUUCCUGUUACACCAUCAGUCCAACGGGAAUGAAGUAAUAGCAUGGGGCCCGCUUUGAACAGAAACAGGUUCCGUGAAGCCAAGUGGAACUCAUGUAGCCGAAGAUUUAGGGGCGCCUGGGUGGCUCAGUUG